GGAAUACCGGAUAUUAAUAAAGAUUUAUCGCUGUUAGAUGAUUCUUAGUCGGAUUAGAUAGUUGGUAGGGUAACGGCCUACCAAGUCAAUGAUCCGUAGCCGGUCUUAACGGACGUACGGCCACAUCGGGACUGAGACACGGCCCGAGUUCCUUUGGGAAGCUGCAGUCAAGAAUCUUGGACAAUGCACGAAAGUGUGAUCCAGCGACGCCACGUGGGUGAAGAUUGCCAAUUAGGUUGUAAAACCCUUUCACUAAGGAGAAUAAUGAUGUUACUUAGAGAAGAAGUCCCGGCUAACUCCGUGCCAGCAGCCGCGGUAAUACGGGGGGGACGAGUGUUACUCGGAAUGAUUAGGCGUAAAGGGUCCUUUAAGCGGUUUAAUAAGUUAAAAGUUUUCUCAUAUGGGCCCAACCUGUAUGUACUUUUAAAACUGUUAGACUUGAGUUUAUCAGGAGAUAGUAGAAUUCAUGGAGUAGGGGUAAAAUCCAAUAAUCUCAUGAGGAACACCAGUGGCGAAGGCGACUAUCUAGGGUAAAACUGACGCUGUAAGACGAAGGUAUGGGUAUCAAAUGGGAUUAGAGACCCCAGUAGUCCAUACAGUAAACGAUGAGUGCUAAACAUUCGGGCAUAGAUUUGUCUGGGUGUUACAGCUAACGCAUUAAGCACUCCGCCUGGGGAGUACUAUCGCAAGGUAGAAACUCAAAGGAAUUGGCGGGGAUUCAUACAAGCGGUGGAACAUGUGGUUUAAUUCGACGAUACGCGAAAAACCUUACCGAUCCUUGACAUCUAUUGUUGUUUAAUAUGCAAAUAUUGAUGUAAAAAAUAGACAGGUGUUGCAUGGCUGUCGUCAGCUCGUGUCGUGAGAUGUUGGGUUAAGUCC
rnacentral:rRNA from 1 species